rnacentral:sRNA from 1 species
CUAGAGCCCGCGAGGUGCGUGCGCCAUGGAGCUCGGGGGCCCCGGGGCGCCGCGGCUGCUGCCGCCGCUGCUGCUGCUUCUGGGCACCGGCCUCCUGCGCGCCAGCAGCCAUGUGGAGACCCGGGCCCACGCCGAGGAGCGGCUCCUGAAGAAACUCUUCUCCGGUUACAACAAGUGGUCCCGACCCGUGGCCAACAUCUCAGACGUGGUCCUCGUCCGCUUCGGCCUGUCCAUUGCUCAGCUCAUUGACGUGGAUGAGAAGAACCAGAUGAUGACCACGAACGUAUGGGUGAAGCAGGAGUGGCACGACUACAAGCUGCGCUGGGACCCAGCUGACUACGAGAAUGUCACCUCCAUCCGCAUCCCCUCUGAGCUCAUCUGGCGGCCGGACAUCGUCCUCUACAACAAUGCCGACGGGGACUUCGCGGUCACCCACCUGACCAAGGCCCACCUGUUCCAUGACGGGCGGGUGCAGUGGACUCCCCCGGCCAUUUACAAGAGCUCCUGCAGCAUCGACGUCACCUUCUU